rnacentral:rRNA from 1 species
AGCAUAUCAAUAAGCGGAGGAAAAGAAACCAACAGGGAUUGCCUUAGUAACGGCGAGUGAAGCGGCAACAGCUCAAAUUUGAAAGCUGGCCCUUUUAGGGUCCGCGUUGUAAUUUGUAGAGGAUGAUUCGGCGAGGGCUCCCGCCUAAGUCCCCUGGAACGGGGCGUCAUAGAGGGUGAGAAUCCCGUAUGCGGUGGGCUGCCUUAGCCAUGUGAAUCUCCUUCGACGAGUCGAGUUGUUUGGGAAUGCAGCUCUAAAUGGGAGGUAAAUUUCUUCUAAAGCUAAAUACCGGCCAGAGACCGAUAGCGCACAAGUAGAGUGAUCGAAAGAUGAAAAGCACUUUGGAAAGAGAGUUAAAAAGUACGUGAAAUUGUUGAAAGGGAAGCGCUUGCAACCAGACUUGUCCGCAGUUGCUCAGCCGGUCUCCUGACCGGCGUACUCUUCUGCGGCCAGGCCAGCAUCAGUUCGGGCGGUCGGAUAAAGACCUCGGGAAUGUGGCUCCUCUCGGGGAGUGUUAUAGCCCGGGGUGGAAUGCGGCCAGCCUGGACUGAGGAUCUCGCUUCGGCAAGGAUGCUGGCGUAAUGGUUGUAAGCGGCCCGUCUUGAAACACGGACCAAGGAGUCUAACACCUAUGCGAGUGUUUGGGUGUCAAACCCAUACGCGUAAUGAAAGUGAACGGAGGUGGGAACCCGCAAGGGCGCACCAUCGGCCGAUCCUGAUGUCUUCGGAUGGAUUUGAGCAAGAGCAUAGUUGUUGGGACCCGAAAGAUGGUGAACUAUGCCUGAAUAGGGUGAAGUCAGAGGAAACUCUGAUGGAGGCUCGCAGCGGUUCUGACGUGCAAAUCGAUCGUCAAAUUUGGGUAUAGGGGCGAAAGACUAAUCGAA